rnacentral:lncRNA from 1 species
AUUAUGGUAUAGGUUUCACAAUUGAAUAUUGUUAGUAAUGAUGAGAAACCUGAAUGUUUUGGCUUGGAAAAAUCUCCAAUAUAUGUUGUUAAAGAGGAAAAAGCAAGUUACAAUAUAAUGCAUAUAUUUGAAUUCCACUUAGGAAAAGCUAUAUAUAUGUAAAUAUACAAAUUCCAAGCUAUCUAUUUGUACAGCAAUGUGUAAAAAUAUGUUGACCAAAAAAACAAAAAACAAACAAAAAUACAAAAAACUGAGCAGAUAUACAAAUAGUGUUUACCUGUGAAGAGAGAAGUCUCAUUGAAAGGUAUGGGUUGCUGUUUUUUAUUUUUAUUUUCAACACAAUAAGAAUAUUUAGUAUGGGUCAUAUUAUAGUGCAAAUGUUUUAAAAAGUCUUGGAAAUACAGAGAAAUUUAAAGAAUAAAAUAAAAAUUAGAAUCCAAUCAUCCAGAUAAUAAUGCUAACAUUUUUUGUUUCCUUAUCUUUUGUAUAUUUCCUUAGUCUAUGCAAUGUUGACCCUGUUUCUUCAGGAAAGAACAAUGAGAAGAAGAGCCAAGUUUAGGUGACGAAGAUGAUAAUUUGAUUUUGGGGCAUAAGUUGGUGCUGUCUGUGGGACACUUAAA